rnacentral:lncRNA from 1 species
ACACAGGUGCGCUCCCUGAUCUGACCACCUGCCCAGCCGCGGAGCCCGGCACAGACCCUGAUUGGUGGCUCCGUGGCCAGGUUUCAUCUGAGCUUGUGGGGCCCGGGAGCCGGCUGGCGGUGAGGCCUCGAGGCUGCGGUCGUGUCCCUGAUCACUCAGGAGUGGACGAGUGGAAAGUGGAAUCCGUCGCUUUGAGCUUGACAGGCAAACAUCCGACCAGCCCUUCCUCCGCCCGGCUGCUCCAGAACCACCUGCGGCGAGCAGGGCUUUGAGAACAUCGGGCCGUGGUUUCCGGACGUCAGGCCCCCCGUGGCCUCCGCCAAGCGUCUGAGACUGAAGCAUUGCUGACGCACUCCACGAGGUCCUGGCCAGACCCCGCUCAGGACAUCCCACUGCACAGGCCCCUGGUUGUUGGGUCAGCGCUGCCGCCAGGCUCAGACUCACCCCAGGGCCCUCCUUGGGCCCCCUUUCUCUGCCUCCUUGGUCAAGGCCCAGACCCAGGCCCCCCCAGGCCCUGCCUCCUCACACUCACGGCGGCCGCUGGGUCUUCUACCGCAUGGUGCCAGCUCCCUCUCCUCCACUGCGGUGUCCUAGCCCAGCUCUCUCCCUGUCAGGCCCUCUGAAGUUCCACCCCCUGGCACUCAGCUCAUGGCGGGAACAGGACCAGGCUCUCCUGUUGCCAAGGGCAGUGAGAUGUUCGUAGCUUUAUUUCCCAGUACAUUGAUUUUACUGAUUUUAGUUUAUCUUCAGUUGAAUAAUUGUGUGUAUUGAUGGGGUUUAUGUUUUAUGGGGUUUGGUGUGAUGUUCUGAUGUACGUAUUUGUUGCAGAAAGAUUCAAUUAAGCUAAUCAACAUAUCCAUCACCUCACCAACUUGUUUUUUUGUGGUGAGAACAUUACAAAUCUAUUUUCUAGCAAUUUGGUAUACAAUACAGUCAUCCCUCGGCAUCCUCAGGGAAAUUGGUUCCAGGACGCCGCUCUGAUAACAAAAUCCGAGGAUGUUCAAGUCCCGGAUGUGAAAUGGCGUAGAGUUUGCACAGAGGUUGCACAUGCACCCCCAGGACUUCAAACCAUCUCCGAUGACUUAGCACCCAGUGCAAGGCAAGGCCAUGAAAACGGCUGUUCUACUGUAUUGUUUUACAUUCUUAUUUUUAAUUUAAAACUUUUCCCACAUCAUAAAUCCUCGGAAGCAGAACUGCACUUACCGAGCACCCUGUGUACUGUGGUUAACGGCAGUGGUGGCCGCCACACAGCGCGGCUGACCUUGAAGCCCACAGCUGCAGCUAACGAACGCUUUGCACCCUUUCACCAACGUCUCUGCUUUCUCUAUCUCUCUUCCUGCCCCGGCCUCCUGCAACCCCCUUUCCACUCUCUGUUUCCAUGAAUUCAGGGUUUUCGGAUCCCACACGUGAGUGAGAUCCUAGCUUUUGGCCAGUGGCAUCCGCCCUCCCUGAGGACCCACCAACCCCUGGGGCCCCCAUUCCCCAUUCAGUCUGACCCCACGGGUCAGCCCCUGUCCCACCUGUGACAGCCCCACUGCUGUUGACAUCGCCACCUCAGCCUGUCCUGCCUGUGACAGCCCCACUGCUGUUGACAUCACCACCUCAGCCUCUGUCCCGCCUGUGACAGCCCCACUGCUGUUGACAUCGCCACCUCAACACCGCUGUUGACAUCGCCACCUCAGCCCCUGCCCCGCCUGUGACAGCCACACCGCUGUUGACAUCGCCACCUCAGCCCCUGCCCCGCCUGUGACAGCCACACCGCUGUUGACAUCGCCACCUCAGCCCCUGUCCCGCCUGUGACAGCCACACCGCUGUUGACAUCGCCACCUCAGCCCCUGCUCCGCCUGUGACAGCCCCACUGCUGUUGACAUCGCCACCUCAGCCCCUGUCCCGCCUGUGACAGCCCCACUGCUGUUGACAUCGCCACCUCAGCCCCUGUCCUGCCUGUGACAGCCUCACUGCUGUUGACAUCGCCACCUCAGCCCCUGUCCUGCCUGUGACAGCCCCACUGCUGUUGACAUCGGUGCCUCAGUGAGGGCAGGCACUGAGUUCAAGGUGGUCCCAGCCCAGCAGCCCCAUCCUGAGGCCUCUGCCUUCCUCCUUGUUUUCAUUUUUAAUUUUCCGGUUAAAAGCCUGCUGGUGCACACAGCAAUUGACUGAAGUGCAGGCGUCUUCAGCGUGUGGCGGGUGGAUUUUCGCUGCCGGCUCGGGCUCAGGGCAUUCCUCUGUGCCCCCGUCAACACCCCCUGCCCUGCGCAAUGGCUCUUCCAACCUCUGACCCUGGCCUGCUCUGAAACUGCAUCUACGCAGCCUCCUGAACCAGCCUUCUCGCCUCCGCAGCCUCCAGACGCCAGCCCUCCC